rnacentral:rRNA from 1 species
GACGAACGCUGGCGGCGUGCUUAACACAUGCAAGUCGAACGGAAAGGCCCUGCUUUUGUGGGGUGCUCGAGUGGCGAACGGGUGAGUAACACGUGAGUAACCUGCCCUUGACUUUGGGAUAACUUCAGGAAACUGGGGCUAAUACCGGAUAGGAGCUCCUGCUGCAUGGUGGGGGUUGGAAAGUUUCGGCGGUUGGGGAUGGACUCGCGGCUUAUCAGCUUGUUGGUGGGGUAGUGGCUUACCAAGGCUUUGACGGGUAGCCGGCCUGAGAGGGUGACCGGCCACAUUGGGACUGGGAUACGGCCCGGACUCCUACGGGAGGAAGCGGGGGGGAAUAUUGCACAAUGGGCGGAAGCCUGAUGCAGAAACGCCGCGGGCGGGAGGACGGCCUUCGGGUGGUAAACCGCUUUCGCCUGGGACGAAGCGGGGGUGACGGUAAUGGGAAAAGAAGCACCGGCUAACUACGU